GAAGGUGGCCUGUGAGGGUUGCUGGAGGUAUCAGAAGUGCGAAUGCUGACAUAAGUAACGAUAAAGCGGGUGAAAAGCCCGCUCGCCGGAAGACCAAGGGUUCCUGUCCAACGUUAAUCGGGGCAGGGUGAGUCGACCCCUAAGGCGAGGCCGAAAGGCGUAGUCGAUGGGAAACGGGUUAAUAUUCCCGUACUUGGUGUUACUGCGAAGGGGGGACGGAGAAGGCUAUGUUGGCCGGGCGACGGUUGUCCCGGUUUAAGCGUGUAGGUGUGUGUUCCAGGUAAAUCCGGUUCACUUUAACACUGAGGCGUGACGACGAGGCACUACGGUGCUGAAGCAACAAAUGCCCUGCUUCCAGGAAAAGCCUCUAAGCAUCAGGUAACAUCAAAUCGUACCCCAAACCGACACAGGUGGUCAGGUAGAGAAUACCAAGGCGCUUGAGAGAACUCGGGUGAAGGAACUAGGCAAAAUGGUGCCGUAACUUCGGGAGAAGGCACGCUGACACGUAGGUGAAGUGAUUUACUCAUGGAGCUGAAGUCAGUCGAAGAUACCAGCUGGCUGCAACUGUUUAUUAAAAACACAGCACUGUGCAAACACGAAAGUGGACGUAUACGGUGUGACGCCUGCCCGGUGCCGGAAGGUUAAUUGAUGGGGUCAGCGCAAGCGAAGCUCCUGAUCGAAGCCCCGGUAAACGGCGGCCGUAACUAUAACGGUCCUAAGGUAGCGAAAUUCCUUGUCGGGUAAGUUCCGACCUGCACGAAUGGCGUAAUGAUGGCCAGGCUGUCUCCACCCGAGACUCAGUGAAAUUGAACUCGCUGUGAAGAUGCAGUGUACCCGCGGCAAGACGGAAAGACCCCGUGAACCUUUACUAUAGCUUGACACUGAACAUUGAGCCUUGAUGUGUAGGAUAGGUGGGAGGCUUUGAAG
rnacentral:rRNA from 4 species